rnacentral:tRNA from 1 species
GGUCUCGUAGCUCAUUUGGCUAGAGCGAUGGCUGUACUUACCCAUGCUGGCGUGGGUUCGAAUCCCACCGAGGCCG